UAGCUCGAUAGGACUCCAAUAUCAAGGCCAUGGAGCUCAGUAAAUCUCCACAUAUAUCACCAAUGAUGUAAUUAUUUUUUAUGAAAAUAAAAUUUAUGGGCCAUUAAUUUGUAAUUGGCACCCGAGUUCUCCAAGAGUUGCUUUCUCCUUCUACUCAAGAUCCUGAAUUAUAACUACGGUCAACUAACGUGAGGGCUAACUUACUUGACCCUCAAGAAGAUCUCGAUGACUCUGAGACAGGGCUAACUUACUAGACCUCAGUAAAGCUCGAUUCGCACGAGAAAUAAAGGGAGACCCUUAGGAAACCUUCGGAGAGAUAACUAAUUAGACCCUUAGAAUACCAUCGAGAGUGCGAGAUGUCGUAGGCACAAGCUCGCUGCUGGCACACACUGCGUUUCACGUGAAGAUGAGAAGUGUUAGAUGUCGAAGGUACAAGAUCGCUGUAGGCACACAAUGUCACUUGUGAGGGCUAACUUACCAGACUCUCGAGAAGACCUUGACGACUUCAAGACGGGGCUAACUUACUAGAUUCCUGCAGAGCUCGAGUUACACGAGAAGUAGAAGGAGAUCCUUUAGGAACCUCUAGAGGGAUAACUAAUCAGACCCUCAGAAUACCACUGAGAGUGCAAGAUGCCGUAGGCACAUGCUCGCCGCUGGCAUACACUACCUCUCACGCGAAGACGAAAAGUGCUAGAUGCCAUAUGCACAAGAUCGCUACAGGCACACAACGCCACUCGUGAGGGCUAACUAAUCAAAUCCUCAGAAUGCCACCGAGAGUGCAAGAUGCUGUAGGCAUAAGCUCACCGCUAGCACACACUGUCUCUCAUGCAAAGACUCGAAAUGCUAGAUGCUGUAAGCACAAGAUUGUCAUAGGCACACAAUGCCCCUCGUGAGGGCUAACUAAUCAGACCCUUGAGAAGACCUCGACGAUUUUGAGGUGAGGCUAACUUACUAGAUCCCUGUAGAGCUUGAGUCGCACAAGAAGCGGAGGGAGAUUCUUAAAAAACCUUCAGAGGGAUAACUAAUCAGAUUCUCAGAAUACCAUCGAGAGUUCAAGAUGUCGUAAGCACAAGUUCGUCGCUGGCACACCUGUCUUUUGUAUGAAGAUGAGAAGUGCUAGAUGUCGUAAGCACAAGAUCGUCGUAGGUACACAACGCUACUCAUGAGGGAUAACUAAUUAGACCCUCGGAACGUCGCUGAAGAGCCUUAGAUGCUAUAGGCACAAGCUCAUCGUCGGCACAUACAACCUCUUCAGAAGACGAAUUAAAAGACGGACAAUAUACGGCUAGAGGCAUUACCUCAACAAGUACACCUUCCGCCUGAGGUACCCUCUUAAACUCAAGAGUAGGAAGGUAGUGUUGAGAUAAUUAUUACAAUACCUUAGAUUCAUGAACAGUCGGAUUACAUUCAAAUUACAUUCAAGUUGUUCUAAACUGCUCUACACAUGUUCACUUCAAUCGAAGUUGUUCUAAGUAUAUGCUAAAGUUGAGCAACCUAGAAUCUUAUUCAUACUGAGUUGAGUACUGAGCAUUUUUUCACACUGAUCUAAGCGCUUAUUUGUGUUGUUCUCUAUGAGCCAAGCAAAAUUCAUAGUUCACAGAUAUAAAUUUAAAGUUGGAAACGAAGCAAUGACUUUCAGAACAAAACAUUCUUUCUUAUUCAUUAAAAUCUUUACAAAGAAAAAACCAGUGCUCCAAGCUCUUUAUAAAAAGAGCGGGUGUUUCAAACACUUUGGAAGAUGGUUGCUCCAGGUACCAUCUUGCGAACAAGAGAAGAAAAUGAGGAAGGUAAGAGGAAGAAUAGGAAGAUAGUAGAAGAAGAGGAGGACAGCGGAAGAUGAAGAGGAAGAAGAGGAGAUGAGGAGAGACGUCCCACUGCAAUCGAUGGAACAUC
rnacentral:lncRNA from 1 species